rnacentral:rRNA from 1 species
CCUACGGGUGGCAGCAGUGGGGAAUAUUGGACAAUGGGGGGAACCCUGAUCCAGCCAUGCCGCGUGUGUGAAGAAGGCCCUCGGGUUGUAAAGCACUUUCAGUGAGGAAGAACGCCUGGUGGUGAAUACCCAUCAGGAAAGACAUCACUCACAGAAGAAGCACCGGCUAACUCCGUGCCAGCAGCCGCGGUAAUACGGAGGGUGCGAGCGUUAAUCGGAAUUACUGGGCGUAAAGCGCGCGUAGGUGGCUUGAUAAGCCGGUUGUGAAAGCCCCGGGCUCAACCUGGGAACGGCAUCCGGAACUGUCAAGCUAGAGUGCAGGCGAGGAAGGUAGAAUUCCCGGUGUAGCGGUGAAAUGCGUAGAGAUCGGGAGGAAUACCAGUGGCGAAGGCGGCCUUCUGGACUGACACUGACACUGAGGUGCGAAAGCGUGGGUAGCAAACAGGAUUAGAUACCCGAGUAGUC